rnacentral:snoRNA from 1 species
CCCCUCUCCGGGUCGCACCUGGAGAGUUUCCAGUCCUCUACCAGUCUCGACUACGGGAGGAAGAGUCAAGCAGAGGCCUACCCGUUCCAUUCCUAACUUAGGCAGUGGCUGGCGAGUGGAAGGCCAUCUGCUGCAAGU